AGAGAGAGAGAGAGAAAAAAAAAAAAAAAGGUUAGGGACGUGUUUGGGUUGUUGUGGUUGUAUUGUUUUGUUUUGGAUUUGUAUGGUUGGUGUAUUUUUAAUUGAUAUUGUUUU
rnacentral:ribozyme from 1 species